rnacentral:tRNA from 1 species
AAGGAGUUAGGUUAAGUGAGACCUUUAGCCUUCAAAGCUGAGAGUGGGAGAGUUCUCAGUCCUUA